rnacentral:lncRNA from 1 species
UUUCAUCUCUCCUUCGUGGCUUUAUCAUGUGUUUGCCCUCAACUUGACAUAGAAAUCUUCUCAAAGUCGCCUAUGGCCAGGACCCUCAAGUUCGCAAGGUCACCCAUGGAUGCUACCCUUGGUCAAGUUCAUCCGAAACCAUCCUUGAGGCCACCAUGGACACAACAAUGGCGGUCAUGCUCACAAGGUUGCCAUACCUACUCUUGAUUAUGUUCUCUGCAUGUUUCCAUCCUUAAGAUUUCCUAUUGUUGUAGUUAUCACUAUCACUGAGUUCUUAAUAUUACACAUGUCCUUCAUGUUGCUUCCUUCAUGUUGUCCAUGAUUGUAGCAACUGUUAUUGAGCUUGCAAGUGGUAGCUGGCAUCAAGUUGGCUGCAGUCGACCCGACCACCAUCACCCUCUUUUAGGCAUAUUGUCAACCUAUUACUCAUGUUUAUUGCUUGCGUAAAGAAAGAAUACUCAUAUCUAUUGCUUGGAUAAAGGAACAAGAAGCGAGAGUGGAGUAGGAAAAAUGAGAGUGGUUAAUUUGAAAGAGUAAUAGUUGUUUGGAUGGAAUGUCAAAGAGAGUAACAAGGCAUUUUUGGGUGUAUUAAAGCGAAAAGGAUCCCAUGAUAUCAAGCUAAAAUCAUGCACUUUCAAUGCUAUAGAAUCAUUUCCCCCUUACUUCAUGGAUACAAGAUAUGUCUAUGAUGCAUGAGAUAACUUAGACGACUUGCUUGAAGUACUUUUGAGCCAAAAAAUUAAGAGUAAAGUAUACAACCGGUCUCUAAACUUCUUUACACAUGGCAUCUAUAUCACUAUAUUCUUAAAAUGCAUAUCUUGAUCUCAUAACUUGUCAAAGUUUAUCAUUCCGGUCACAAAAUGCCAUGAGCUCUCUAGAAUCCCACAUACAGUGAUGUAUGUCACUUCAGCCUUUUUUCUUUGUACAAUUGACUUAGAUGAAUGGAAACUAGAAAAAAGAAAGAGGAAAAUGAGAAAGAAAAAGAAGGGAAAAAAGAAAAGAAAAAUAUUUUGAGCAAGUGAUACCGCCACAAUGUUUGUUUUGGUAUGUCAUAUUAGCAAUACUUGGGGAUUCUAGAAAACUCAUGGUAGUUUAAGAUCCAGAUGACAUAUCGUAACAACUUUAACAAGUUAUUGGAUACAAUUUACGAAUAUAGGAAGCUUGCUAAUAAAUUUGAAUAAAUUUAGAAACCGGUUAUAUAGCUUGCUUAAAAAUUAAUCACAUGCAAAGCCUUAUUGCUACACUAACCCCAUAACAUAGGACAAGCUCAUACGUUACAUACUCGAUCCUCUACCCCAUGAGUAUAAGCUAUAUCUAGAGUAUAUGAGGUGGGAUGGGAUAUCAUCGUAUCAACAUCUUAAUUAUCUCGUAUGCAUGUCAUGCUCAUUUGAUUGAGAUGGCUUGCAAGCUCAAAAAAGGUUGCACCUUAAUUGGAUUUUGAGAUCUCUGAUGGAUGCAUCUGCGCGCAUCGAUGGUGUGUAUGUGACACCCAAACUGCAUGUCACAUUCGUACGUUUAAUCAUUAAACAUCCUUGAUUCGCUUGCGUUGUUUCAACCGACUAAUUAAGCAAAAAAACAAGAGGGUGAAGAAGCAAUAUUAACACUUACUUCCAUAAAUAUAUCGAUCAUAGGUACAUGGGUUCGAUCGGGUGGGGAAAAUAUCAACCGACAUAUUUAUAUCUGAAAAAUAAUUUACAAAAUAUAUAUAUAUAUAUAUAUAUAUUUCUUAGCAAUCUAAAACUAAAAACCA